rnacentral:rRNA from 1 species
AGCGAACGCUGGCGGCAGGCCUAACACAUGCAAGUCGAACGAACCUUUCGGGGUUAGUGGCGGACGGGUGAGUAACACGUGGGAACGUGCCUUUAGGUUCGGAAUAACUCAGGGAAACUUGUGCUAAUACCGAAUGUGCCCUUCGGGGGAAAGAUUUAUCGCCUUUAGAGCGGCCCGCGUCUGAUUAGGUAGUUGGUGGGGUAAUGGCCUACCAAGCCGACGAUCCAUAGCUGGUUUGAGAGGAUGAUCAGCCACACUGGGACUGAGACACGGCCCAGACUCCUACGGGAGGCAGCAGUGGGGAAUCUUAGACAAUGGGGGCAACCCUGAUCUAGCCAUGCCGCGUGAGUGAUGAAGGCCUUAGGGUUGUAAAGCUCUUUCAGCUGGGAAGAUAAUGACGGUACCAGCAGAAGAAGCCCCGGCUAACUCCGUG